UAGUCCUAGCUGUAAACGAUCUGCACUAGUCCGUGGGGACCCCCACAUCUUCUCGGACGUAGCGAAAGUGUUAAGUACAGCGCCUGGGGAGUAUGGUCGCAAGGCUGAAACUCAAAGGAAUUGACGGGGGCUCACACAAGCGGUGGAGGAUGUGGCUUAAUUCGAGGCUACGCGAAGAACCUUACCUAGGCUUAACAUGUUUGAGAAUUCCUAUGAAAGUAGGAAGUGCCCUUCGGGGAGCUCUUACGUAGGUGCUGCGUGGCUGUCGUCAGCUCGUGUCGUGAGAUGUCGGGUUAAGUCCCUUAACGAGCGAAACCCUUAUCAUUAGUUGCCAGCGAGUCAUGUCGGGGACUCUAGAGAGACUGCCGGCGUAAGCCGCGAGGAAGGUGGGGAUGACGUCAAAUCAUCAUGGCCUUUAUGCCCAGGGCUACACACGUGCUACAAUGGCCGGUACAGAGGGUCGCGAAGCCGCGAGGUGGAGCCAAUCUCAUAAAACCGGUCCCAGUUCGGA
rnacentral:rRNA from 1 species